rnacentral:tRNA from 1 species
GCGCCUGUGGCGGAAUUGGUAGACGCGCCAGACUUAGGAUCUGGUGUCCUACGAUGUGCAGGUUCGAGUCCUGUCAGGCGCA